UGGCUCAGUUGGUAGAGCAUGGUGUGUGUAACGCCAGGGUUGUGGGUUCGAUUCCCAC
rnacentral:tRNA from 1 species